AUUGAACGCUGGCGGCAUGCCUUACACAUGCAAGUCGAACGGCAGCACGGGAGCAAUCCUGGUGGCGAGUGGCGAACGGGUGAGUAAAGUAUCGGAACGUGCCCAGUCGUGGGGGAUAACGUAGCGAAAGUUACGCUAAUACCGCAUACGAUCUAUGGAUGAAAGCGGGGGAUCGCAAGACCUCGCGCGAUUGGAGCGGCCGAUAUCAGAUUGGGUAGUUGGUGGGGUAAAGGCUCACCAAGCCGACGAUCUGUAGCUGGUCUGAGAGGACGACCAGCCACACUGGGACUGAGACACGGCCCAGACUCCUACGGGAGGCAGCAGUGGGGAAUUUUGGACAAUGGGCGAAAGCCUGAUCCAGCCAUGCCGCGUGCAGGAUGAAGGCCUUCGGGUUGUAAACUGCUUUUGUACGGAACGAAAAGGUUUGGCCUAAUAAGCUGAGCUCAUGACGGUACCGUAAGAAUAAGCACCGGCUAACUACGUGCCAGCAGCCGCCGUAAGAC
rnacentral:rRNA from 1 species